rfam:Daphnia pulex DAPPTscaffold_359_Cont9019, whole genome shotgun sequence.
GUCAAGAUGGCCGAGUGGUUAAGGCGCCAGACUUAAGAUACUAAUUCAAAUAAUAGAUUAAUAGGUAAUCUUGUGAAAUCCGUUACUUGGCAUUCUGGUCUUCGAAGAAGGCGUGGGUUCAUACCCCACUCUUGACA